AUUCUUGUUGCAGUAAUUGCAGUGGCUGCCAUAUAUUUGUUACCCAAGAAACCUCUCCAAUUUCAGAACUUCUGAUGGCUAGCUUUUAUGUUGUAGUUGUGUUUCAUUGUUGCACUUGCACGUAUAUAUUUUUCCCCAUUUUCUUUUCAUUGUCAUUCAUGUAUGAAUCCUUGCAAUGAGACAUUUUUGUGAUUAUCAAUUGAUAAUAUAGAUAUCAAUUUAAUUAA
rnacentral:misc_RNA from 1 species